rnacentral:rRNA from 1 species
GACGAACGCUGGCGGCGUGCCUAAUACAUGCAAGUAGAACGCACAGUUUAUACCGUAGCUUGCUACACCAUACACUGUGAGUUGCGAGCGGGUGAGUAACGCGUAGGUAACCUGCCUGGUAGCGGGGGAUAACUAUUGGAAACGAUAGCUAAUACCGCAUAAUAUUAAUUAUUGCAUGAUAAUUGAUUGAAAGAUGCAAUUGCAUCACUACCAGAUGGACCUGCGUUGUAUUAGCUAGUAGGUGAGGUAACGGCUCACCUAGGCGACGAUACAUAGCCGACCUGAGAGGGUGAUCGGCCACACUGGGACUGAGACACGGCCCAGACUCCUACGGGAGGCAGCAGUAGGGAAUCUUCGGCAAUGGACGAAAGGCUGACCGAGCAACGCCGCGUGAGUGAAGAAGGUUUUCGGAUCGUAAAGCUCUGUUGUAAGAGAAGAACGGGUGUGAGAGUGGAAAGUUCACACUGUGACGGUAUCUUACCAGAAAGGGACGGCUAACUACGUG